rnacentral:rRNA from 1 species
AUUGAACGCUGGCGGCAUGCUUUACACAUGCAAGUCGAACGGUAACAGGCCGCAAGGUGCUGACGAGUGGCGCACGGGUGAGUAAUGCAUCGGAACGUGCCCAGUCGUGGGGGAUAACUACUCGAAAGAGUAGCUAAUACCGCAUACGAUCUAUGGAUGAAAGCGGGGGACCGUAAGGCCUCGCGCGAUUGGAGCGGCCGAUGUCAGAUUAGGUAGUUGGUGGGGUAAAGGCUCGCCAAGCCAACGAUCUGUAGCUGGUCUGAGAGGACGACCAGCCACACUGGGACUGAGACACGGCCCAGACUCCUACGGGAGGCAGCAGUGGGGAAUUUUGGACAAUGGGCGCAAGCCUGAUCCAGCAAUGCCGCGUGCAGGAAGAAGGCCUUCGGGUUGUAAACUGCUUUUGUACGGAACGAAACGGCUCUGGUUAAUACCCGGGGCUAAUGACGGUACCGUAAGAAUAAGCACCGGCUAACUACGUG